AGGAGCUAACAACCUAGAAUUUUUCUGUCUUAAAAGGACUUAGUCAUAUUUUAAGCUCCUAAACUUCAAUGAUUUCUAAAUCGAUCUUUCUAACCCCGAGACGUAGAUUUUUUAGUAGAUUCAUAUUCAGGGGUGCAAGGGAAAGUCUCGGGGGAGUUUUGAAUUUUUCGGAUGAGGUUUGAGAUGUGUUUGGAUUCCCAAACUAGUAGGUCACCGCGAUUGCACAGCAUCGCGAUGCCUAUAGUGGUAAGUCGCUUGGC
rnacentral:lncRNA from 1 species